GGGUUGUGAGGUUAAGCGACUAAGCGUACACGGUGGAUGCCCUGGCAGUCAGAGGCGAUGAAGGGCGUGCUAAUCUGCGAUAAGCGCCGGUAAGGUGAUAUGAACCGUUAUAACCGGCGAUACCCGAAUGGGGAAACCCAGUGUGAUUCGUCACACUAUCAUUAACUGAAUCCAUAGGUUAAUGAGGCGAACCGGGGGAACUGAAACAUCUAAGUACCCCGAGGAAAAGAAAUCAACCGAGAUUCCCCCAGUAGCGGCGAGCGAACGGGGAGGAGCCCAGAGCCUGAAUCAGCAUGUGUGUUAGUGGAAGCGUCUGGAAAGGCGCGCGAUACAGGGUGACAGCCCCGUACACAAAAGCGUAUGUGCUGUGAGCUCGAUGAGUAGGGCGGGACACGUGGUAUCCUGUCUGAAUAUGGGGGGACCAUCCUCCAAGGCUAAAUACUCCUGACUGACCGAUAGUGAACCAGUACCGUGAGGGAAAGGCGAAAAGAACCCCGGCGAGGGGAGUGAAAAAGAACCUGAAACCGUGUACGUACAAGCAGUGGGAG
rnacentral:rRNA from 1 species